UACCAGCUCCCCGAGUGGUGGGGACGAUUAUUGGGCUUAAAGCGUCCGUAGCCGGCUUGGCAAGUCUUUCGUUAAAUCCAGCGGCUUAACCGUUGGACUGCGGGAGAUACCGUCAGGCUAGGGGGCGGAAGAGGCCGACGGUAUUCUCGGGGUAGGGGUGAAAUCCUAUAAUCCCGGGAAGACCACCAGUGGCGAAGGCGGUCGGCUAGUACGCGCUCGACGGUGAGGGACGAAAGCUGGGGGAGCGAACCGGAUUAGAUACCCGGGUAGUCCCAGCUGUAAACGAUGCGGGCUAGGUGUUGGGGCGGCUACGUGCCGCUUCGGUGCCGCAGGGAAGCCAUUAAGCCCGCCGCCUGGGAAGUACGGCCGCAAGGCUGAAACUUAAAGGAAUUGGCGGGGGAGCACUACAAGGCGUGAAGCUUGCGGUUC
rnacentral:rRNA from 1 species